ACCCGACUACAUGAAGCUGGAAUCGCUAGUAAUCGCGAAUCNGAAUGUCGCGGUGAAUACGUUCCCGGGUCUUGUACACACCGCCCGUCACACCAUGGGAGUCGGAAAUGCCCGAAGUCAGUGACCUAACCGAAAGGGAGGAGCUGCCGAAGGUGGAGCCGGUAACUGGGGUGAAGUCGUAACAAGGUAGC
rnacentral:rRNA from 1 species